UAUUUCAACGAUAGCACGUUGGAGGCGCCAGUUCCAAAUGGAUCAUUGAAGUUAUGUAACGUUGCGCGUGGUUACUAUCCGGAUGAGUGACCAUUUGGGCAAUCCUGCAGUCUUGGUUC
rnacentral:rRNA from 1 species